CAGGAAACGGAAUAUAGGGCAGAGUGUUUCUAGGGCAUUUAUAGGAGGUGGUCUCUGAUUGGCUGGGCAACCAGGAGCAGAAUCCUGUUUUCUGAAGCAGAAUAUUUCCACAGAUUUUGGCUGCAAAACAUUUUUCUGCUGAGAGCACCUGAGCAGGGAACAUGGAGAAGAAUCCUUUGGCAGCCCCAUUACUAAUCCUCUGGCUUCAUCUUGACUGCGUGAGCAGCAUAACGAACGUGGAACAAAGCCCUCAGUCACUGCGUGUUCAGGAGGGAGACAGCACCAAUUUCACCUGCAGGUUCCCUUCCAGCAAUUUUUAUGCCUUACACUGGUACAGAUGGGAAACUGCAAAAAGCCCCAAGAACUUGUUUGUAAUGACUUUAAACGGGGAUGAAAAGAAGAAAGGACGAAUAAAUGUCACCCUUAAUACAAAGGAGGGUUACAGCUAUUUGUACAUCAAAGGAUCCCAGCCUGAAGACUCAGCCACAUACCUCUGUGCCAUUACACAGUGCUAUUCAGACACCUGCAGCCCAUUCGCAAACCUGUGGCUGGUGUUGCACUGCUACUCGGUUUCGACAAAGAACCGUGAGUAGGAUGGAAAAGAUAGGUUGGAAAAGACAAAUUCCUUGAAUUACAGUUUUUUCAAGAGGAUUAUGGAAACAGAAAAAUAAGCAUGCUAGUAAUCACAGCUAAUUACCACAAAAGCUAAUUAAGUAAACCUAUUUUUUAUGAUAGAUAUCAGAGUGCUAAUGAAGCAUAACACCUUACCUGGUAACUUGGCUGUUACUAAACAAUACUAACCCCAGCUCCCAACAACACAAUAACUACGUCAUUGACUCAGACCCAUCGUCUGCUCCUUUGGCAUGAUUCUGAAAGAACCCAAUAGUCACUCAAUCCUAUCUAAAACAAUUGGGUAAAUAAAGGUAAUGUUUACCCCCUCAUUGAUCCUAUGUCCUAAAAAUGAGUUCUUCUAUCAUAUUUUUUCCACAAGCACAAAUGGAGCAUGUGGCAUGCCCCUUCCUCACACACCUGGCAAGGAAAUAUGCACGUUUAAUACCAGAGCGAGUGAUGUCGCCUCCUUUAAUCCACUGGGGAUUUUGGUUUUGCUUCAGUUCAACUUUCCCCCUACAUGAACAUUUGCAUUUUUAUUUCUUCUCACAUGUGGCUAUUUUCAUUUUUAAAUAUCACUCACAAUAUCAUAAAGGAGCCCUGAUGAAGGCUCUUUGCUGUUAAUAUGGUCUAUCCCCCCGCCUGUACUGUGAUUGUGAUAUUGGAUGACCAACUGAACUCUAUUAUCAAAGUCUCUUCAUUUGUAAUUUCCAGGCAUAUGAAGCAGGUUGAGUGUCUGGUGCUCUGCUCUUUCUGCAGAUUUCCAAACAACCCAUCAGUUUAAGGUUCCAUUGGUAUUCUAGAGGUCUGUAAUUCCAAGCUUCCUUGGGGGUUAAGAUGAAGUAACUUGCUUUUGGUCCUCCUCAUCUAAAAGCUAGAGUUUCAACUUUCUCUAAACAUCUACAAUUAAUCAUUUCUUAUCCAACUCCUGUCCAGUUUCCUAAAUUAUGCUGCUAUUGCACUUUCUCUCUCUUUUGUGAAUUUGUUUUUUAAAUCUUAUUAUUGUUAUCACAUAUUUGGAAAAAAAACUAUAUAUUUAAAAAUAAUAUUGGAGUGUAUACACAUC